rnacentral:rRNA from 1 species
CCUACGGGAGGCAGCAGUGAGGAAUAUUGGUCAAUGGACGAAAGUCUGAACCAGCCAAGUAGCGUGAAGGAUGACUGCCCUAUGGGUUGUAAACUUCUUUUAUAAAGGAAUAAAACGAGGCACGUGUGCCUUUUUGCAUGUACUUUAUGAAUAAGGAUCGGCUAACUCCGUGCCAGCAGCCGCGGUAAUACGGAGGAUCCGAGCGUUAUCCGGAUUUAUUGGGGUUAAAGGGAGCGUAGAUGGGUUGUUAAGUCAGUGGUGAAAGUUUGGGGCUCAACCGUAAAAUUGCAAUUGAUACUGGCAGUCGUGAGUACAGUUGAGGUAGGCGGAAUUCGUGGUGUAGCGGUGAAAUGCUUAGAUAUCACGCAGAACCCCGAUUGCGAAGGCAGCUUACUAAACUGUGACUGACAUUGAUGCUCGAAAGUGUGGGUAUCAAACAGGAUUAGAUACCCCAGUAGUC